rnacentral:tRNA from 1 species
GCCGUUGUAGCUCAGUUGGUAGAGCAACUCCAUGGUAAGGAGUAGGUCGCCGGUUCAACUCCGGCCAACGGCUCCA